rnacentral:lncRNA from 1 species
UAAUGGUCCGAACUGGAGCUAUUUCCGGGAAUGACUCUCCGACCGUCAAGUUAGAUAAUCGGUGGGUAUAAAGUGUAUGUAGAGAGAGAGUGUGUAUAAGCUUAGAGUAUCUAAAAUUGCAUACCUUCGAAUGAGUAAGGUCUGGCCUUAUAUAGCAAUUCGACGUGUAUCAGGUCGUGCCAACCAUCAUGUCACUGGAUAGACUGCAGCACGCGCCACACUGACUUGCUGUGUCAGUGAGUAGUAGGCGUAGACCUUGCCAUGCAAGUCACCUUCAGUCUCCUAAUGUGCCUCGGGAUCACCGCUGACCAUUGCAUCUUGACCAAGUUCUGGCGCAGUGACUCUGCCGAGCUUGCUAUGGAGUGACAGCUUGACAACAGUGCUUGCCUAACUUGACCAGAGCUAAUGUUGCAUCUCGACCAAGCCUAGGCGCACAGACCUCACCGAGCUUGCUAUAGAGCAACAAUCUGGCAGCGGUGCCUGCCUUAGCUCAGCUAGAGCUUUUACGUAAUAUUUUAUCCCUUAUAAUUGUCCCUCAGUUCGCAUGAGCUAGAUCUAUGCUAGUCGAGGUCAUGUGAGUUUGAUAUUUGUGAUGUUUAAUGCUGAAGCUCGACAAGAUAGUUGUGCCAGUGCCUGCAAGCUGUCUAAACUCUUUAUGGAUUUGUAAUUUGCUGUAUUACGGUGCCACGGUCAGUCUGACUCACAUUAGCUCGGUUUGAGCACGGAUGCCUAACCCUUAAGGUUGUGUUGGCUUGGACGCGAGGUGAUUGAGUCACCCCAUGUUUCCUCCCGUUGGUUCAGAGGCAGGAAUUCUUGGCCUGGCAAACAACAUUCCUUAAGUGGGGGGGGGUUUUUUGGGGUGUGUUUUCGAAUAUUUGCCCAUCCUGUGACUUCCUUAAAAGUUUUUUCUCCUUCCUUGGAUCUAUUCAUUUUUUGAACAUGGAAAUAAUAGCUCAGGAUUGCUUAUCGAGUUCAUAGCGAAUGUCUCUUUUGACUGACCUUGGGGAUUCUUUUAAGAUUCUCAGGACUUCCUCUCCAGUUCCACCAGCUGCAUCUUCUUCAUGAUUGCCUUUAUGCAUAUUGUGAUGAGAUAGCAUUGUUUUACCGCCACUUGGUCUCCAUGGAGUGUUUCCUCUACCUUGGGAGCGAAAAACCUGAGGACCUUGUGCAAUGUGGAUGCAACUUCCUUCAUCUUAUGUAACAAAUCUCGAUCGACGAUUGCAGUUAUACAGGGAGAGGAUAUUAAUAACAAUGAACUCUGUCACUAACUCUUGGAAACCAUCUUGGAUUUUGAGGGUUACAGUUCUCAAUGGCCAAUGGGACUAAGUGUUGAACCCGACUAACAAAGCUCGGGCCGGCUUUAGAGCAACCUCAAACAGUUUUAAUUAUUUAAAAAGUUCAUAAUACAUCACUUCAACUAAAAUGCUGGAGUUCACCAAGAUUCGUUUGACAUCGUAGCCAUGGAUCUGCAAUUGGAUGACCAAAGGAUCGUUGUGGGGGUACUGAACCCGCUCAAAAUCUGCUUUGGUAAAAGUGAUGCUUCUUGGCUCGGACAUGCCUUAUCUUGGCUUCCUCAUCGCUGGCUGGACUGAGCGAACAUUUUGACCCGAGACAUGAGAUUCUAGAGGUCAACUAGAGAGUUGAGCGUCAGGUCCUCCCAAGCUUCUCGCUGAGGUCAGCCCAAGCUUGUAGCUGACCAUGGCUAGCUUUUCUGAACACCCUCCUAUCUCUUUGUACAGCUCCUAAUAACAUUUUCUAUAGUUGUGAAGCAUUUCAUUCUUGCCUUUUCUAAGUGUCAGUAGAGAGUUGACCACCUUUGGUGCCUUUGUGUUGAUAACAAACCAAGCUAAGUAUGACUCGGUAAGUUGGUAAAAGCUCCCAAUGGAUCUAUCGGGAAGCUUAUCAAACCAUUUCAACCCGAGAUCCCCCAAGCUUGAUGAAAAUAUCCCGCACAUGAGUGCAUCGAGAUGAUUUCAAAGUGCCAUCAUUUGUUUGAAAUGGAUGAUGUGAGACCUAGAGUUUGAAUUCUCGUCGUAUAGAGUGAACUUCAGAGGAUUGAACUUCUUAGGAGGGUUCAUUCUCUCAAUCUAGGGCGUUAAUGGGGUUUGGUACCUCGGGAUUUGUUCUCUUGGCACGGACCUGACAAUCUCAAGUGUUAUUGCCUUGGUGAGCAGCUUCGCCCCGUAAAUCCUCAUACUGGCUACGUUUAGCAUUGAGGGUCUCAUGUAGGUCCACACCGGAGUGGGUUCGACUUAGUGAUACCCCACGCUUACCCGAUGCACAGUUGUGUUAUUACUUCAGCUCUAGGCCUUAAUGUUGGAUUUCACAUGUUUUUCCUUCUUGCUACCCCGAGGUGGGUCCUCUCAGCUCUUGACCUCACCUUAGGCGACCCAUCACCAGCCCUUGUGGCCGGUUUUAUCAGUCUGUUGGCCACCAUAAUUUGUGUCAGCUCUUCUAACUGAGUUUCUAAAUGCUUGAUGGUGACGUCCAAACUGUUUUCACCUUGUGGCCGGUUUUAUAGUACACACAAUGUCUAUUAUAAAAAUUUUACGAUCGAUUGUGAUAAAUAUUAUGGUUAAUUAUUGUGUAUAUUAUGAUCAUUAUGGUGAAUAUAUCGAGGGAUGUAUGUCACAAAUAGUGAAAAAUUGUGUGUUAUACAUUAUUGUAGUAAAUGUUACGACUAUUUGUGGUAAAAAAAAUUCUAUUACAAUUGGUUGUGGUCAAUGUUAUACCUAUUUGUGGUAAUGUUAUACCAAGUGCACUAUAUACAUUAUUUUUUGAGGCGUGUACGUUAACCGCUCCUGUAACCAAAUCACUUCACUUUGUGAACCCGUAAGGACCCGUUUGGCUGGAGGAUAGCCGAGGGGAUAACUUUUUUCCCUGGAUAACUCCCUUUAGCGUUUGGAUGGUUUAAAACGUUCCGGAUAACUUUUUCCAUAGCGGGCGGAUAGAAGCGAAUAAUUUUUGGAUGACCCUCACCCUAACCAAAAGCUAUCCGAGAGGAUAGAGACGGAUAUCUAUGUAUCUAUAUCUAUCUAUAUCUAUAUGUAUAUAUAUAUUUUUCAUAUCUAGAUAUUUUACAUUUUUCUUCCUUAUCCCCCACCCUUAUCCCAUUCUAAAAAGUAUCCAAACAAACUUAAAAGUUAUCCUCCUUCAAAAGUUAUUCCCCUUUAAAACUUAUCCGGCAGCCAAAUGACCCUAACACUUUUACAAUUUAUAUUUCGUGUUAUAUUUGAAAUGCUUACGUAUAUGGUUUGCUACUGUUGUGACUUCAAAGGAUCCUUCUCGUCAUUUUUUUAGGUUAAUUGCAUUCACCUACACCCCCUGAGGUUGGUGUAUUGUACCUUAGACCCGGCACCUUUCAAAAUGGCAGAUAGACCCCCUGCGUUAGUGACAUCAUCAUUUCCGUUAGUUGACUAGGUUGACCGAAGGAAAUGUCAUAAAUCCCUGAAAUUCUCUCUCGUCCUCUCUCUCUCUCGGUUUUUAUUUUAUUUUUUUCUGUUUUGGUAUUUUUUAAGUUUUGUUUCUUUUUUUUAAUUAGUUUUUUAAAUAAUUUUUGUUUUAUCAAAUAUCUUUUACAAUUGUUUUAAUUUUGUCUAAUUUAGCAAAAAUUAGGUUAAAAUUAACUAAAAAAAAUUGAUGUGGGUUCGGGUCAAUGUUUUUUUUUUUUUCUUUUCAAGUUUAGAGUAAUGGGUAAGGAAGUGAUUUGGGGUUUGAAAAUGGGUAUGAGGCCCCCCCCCCCUAAAAGUCCCCCCCACCCCCCCCCCCCCCCCCCCCCCCCCCCCCUGACAGCAAUGGUUUUUGGCAAAAAAAAGUUAUAUUUUUGGCUUGUUCAUUAAUUAUAAUUUUUUUAAGUGGCCCACUGAUUUGUAACUCGGUUAGUUGAGUUUCAAUUAGCCUACAUGUUUAAGCUCAAGCAAAAACUUCACUUUAUAUCCCAAUAAUCAUAAAAUUAGUAAUUUUUUAUCUAACAUAUUAGAAAUUAUAAUUUUAGUUAGUCAAACAAGCCUUAAAAUGUGAAAUAAAAUAAAAUUUUUAUUAUUAUGUAAUACUUAUCCAUGUAGCUUUUAAAUUAUUAUUCAAAAAAUAGAGUUUUUUUUAUAAAAAAUAACAAGAUAGUCCCUUUAAUUUAGUGUAGGUGCUAUAGAUUAGUGUAACACUGCUUGAACCUGAUCACAACAUUAAUUACCACCUACACUAAAAGUAAAAUGCUAUCCUAUUUUCUAUUUCUUUGUAUUUUAGUUUUAUUUGUUUAUCAGCAACAAAUACUGUUUUUCAAUAUUUAUUUAACGCAAGAGUGCCACUUGGGAAAUUCGUAUGCCUUCAAAAUACAAAAUUUUUAUAAAAAAUAUCAAACCUGUAAUAAAAAAAAUAAUUAAAAAAACUAAAAAAAGCCAAAACUGGAAAAAAAAAAAAAAUAAAAACGAGAGAGAGAGAGAUACUUUUCAAGGGUAUUUUAUGACAUUCUCUUCAGUCAAAAUGGUGUCCAACUACAAAAAUGCUGAUGUCACUAAACGCAGAGGUCUAUUGCCGUACAUAAAUACUACCCAAAACAAAUCUCAGGGGUUCUACCUGCCUAUUUUUGAAGGUAUCGGGUCUAAGUGUCCAUUACACCAAACCUCAGGGGGUGUAGGUGAAGUUUUCCCUUUUUAUUGGUGAUAUGACUUUGUGUGUUUGAAAAAACAUAAUAUUCUUUACCGCGUAAAACACUUGACAUCCGUUUGCGUGGGACAUUCCGUGUGCCUUUGACAUAGGGAAGUAUUGAACUUGUGUUUUUUGAAAAAACAUAAUCUUCUUACACCACCAAGCGUAAAACACUUUGACAUUGUUUGCGGUGGGACAUUCGGUGUGCCUUUGACAUUUCAAAGGGUACUAUGGAUUGGAAAUGAUGUUAACCGAGGGGCCAAAGUGUCAAUUUUCCAAACAUUUAUCAUUCUUUCAACCAAAGUGGCAUUGUUUAUCCAAGCUGCAGCUUUCACUUUUUCCAAACGCGAUAAUGGCGUGUAGUACAUAUUUGCGAACAAUUUUGGAGAAAGUGAAAAACAAAUCUGGAUUUUGAUCUCAGUAACAAAUUAAACUCUAUAGUUUUAAUUAUAACAAAUUAAACCUUACAAUUUUAAUCUAGUUGACAAUUAAAAAUCUCUAUUAGUUUCUAUUUCAGUAAAGUUUACGGAAUCAAUUAAUUCAUACCAAAUAAAUUGAGGAAAUGAUGUUUUCCAAUGUUAUCUCCAUGCAAUUAGGGCUCAUUUUUAAACAAAACUUCGAAAAAGUAGUUUGAAUCUUUAAUUUUAAAAAAAUUAUAAUUUUAUUGAUUUUAAGUUGAAUAUGUAAGCCUUAAUUGCAUCGAUUAAGACUUUUAAAGACUGAUAAUUUGAAGGAUGUUAUUUUUUUAAAUUUUUUUUAAAAUUAGUUGGUUAUAUCAUCUCAAAUGAAACAAAGAUUAUCAAUGAUUUUAAUUGUGAUCAAAUUCAAAAUUUUUAGAUUUUUAAAUUGUUUACAAUUAAAAUUAUAAUGAUUUUAAUCCUUUCCGCAGUCAACCCCAAGCUUCUUUCUGUAAUUUUUUCCAACAAUUGAAUGCGUGUGGAGCCUGUGGAGUACCUACCUAUAAUCAAGCUCUACGAAGAAAUUUCUUUCUCAAAUCAUUCAUCCCUGGUCAGUGUUCACCUUUCACGCGUCCUUACCUAAUAAUCUAUAGAUUUAACUAAAAACACUGAUCCAUGAAGAAAAGAGAAAAAUACGAAACGAUCCGAAGAUACAACGAGGGAAAACCCUUUAGCAAAUUUAAUUUCUAGCCGCAUGUAUAUCAAUACUUCAGAGAAAUUCUUUUUCUUACAACCGUGCGGAAUGGUUCAUUCAAAUGACCCUUAAUUAAAUAUUAGCCACGAUUAAAAUUGUUUGUACACACUUUGAGUACGUCAGUGGGGGGGUUUAUUCGGAGAAUCUCAUAUAUUGCAAGAUAGGGCCUCGAAUAUCUCGAAAAAUGUAAACAAAAUCCGGGAGAAAUUUCACUGCUUGGAAAAUUUGAAAAUGGGAAAAAAUUGCUAAAUUUUCUACAAUUGGUUUAUUCUCGACUUGUUCAUGUCCCAAUCUACCUUCUACAAUGGUUUAAGUCUUAGUGAUUUUAUCGGGGUAAUCAAUAUGAGUGGAAGAAGGGACUCAUUUCGAUAUCCAAAAGGUGGGAAUAUCAACUACAUGGAAUUUUAACAUGAAAGAAAUGCAACACUUUGGCCUUGUUCCUCUUUCUUUCAUAUUCACACAAUUCGAUUAAAAAGCUUAUUUGCGCAUUGCUGCAACCAAAGCACAUUGCUCACUAUCAUUUCUCUUCCCUCCAUUCUAUAGAAAAAUGUGAACAGUGAUUGAAUACAUUUGUCCUCAAAUUACUUUUUUCUCACAAAUAUAUACGUACGAAAUGAGUUGAGGAAACAUUUCUCAACAAAGGUCGUCAAAAAAAGUUCUUUUGUGACAAAAUAUUUAUUUCCGUCACCUAUGUAAUUGUUUUUUGACGAAUUUUAUUUUGUCCACCGAUAAUGAAUGAUUUAUUGAAAAAAUAUUUCAUUUGACCUAUUUUAUUGUCACACAAUUAUUCGUUUUUGUUACAAAUAAUUCUGAAAGUUAUAUAAUAUCACAACAUAUGUGAAAAAAAAUUUCGCCACCUAUUGUAACUAUUUUUAAUGACAAACUUUAUUUCAGUCACCAUAGUGAUUGUUUCAUAUGAAAUAUUCGUCACUAUUUUAUUAUUUUUUUAUGCCAUCAAGUUAUCCUUUCAUCACAAAUAGUUGCUAAAAAUAAUCAUGUAAACAAUAUUAGGUGAGAACACAACUUUCGUCACCCUAAAAUUUUAAAUUUUAAAUUUGUAAAAAGUAGUGAAGUUGAGAAUUUUUUUGUCCACCUAUAAUUUUAAAUUAAUCCAAUCGGUGACGAAGAAGAUUGCCACAAAAAAUUUUUUAGAAAAAUAUUUUUGAUGAUGGAAAAUUUUGUCACCUAAAUAUAUUAUGAGAAGUAUACAAUUGGCCAACAAAAUCUUUUCCUAAUACUGCCAUUGAAAAUAAAUGCCAUUCAUUUUAAGAAUCUGCAAUCGCAAUUAAAAAUAUCACAACUGAAUUUUGAUCAUAAUAUUACACAGUUAUAAAUCCAAUAUAACUCGUAUACCACAUUACCAAACAAGCAAACAAAUCACUAAUAUUUCCACCAUAUCAUCUUUCUUAUCCUAUGCAUCAUCACAAAGAAAGAGUAGUUGUAGCAUUACUGAAAUAAAAAAGAACGAAGAUUUGAAGCUUGAUCCAAAAAGAAAUAAGUAUCCAAAAAAGAAGUUUUCGUAGAAUAACAUUCAUGUCAUCAUCCAACUCCCAACCUUCUGCAUAUACAAUCUGCAAACAUAAAAAAUUCAAAGUCACUCCCUCAACAAAUAUUGGCUAAAUAAUAGGUAGUCUUCUACACUUUUAUACAAAAAAUCAUGAUAUUUUAUAUAUGUAAAUAUGAACAGUAUAAAGUGCUAAUCAGCAAGUCUUUAACUGGUGUAAAUAUGAAAAGCAUAAACUGCUCAACGUUUCAUAUAUUGCAGAAUUUGAGGUAGGACUAUCUAUAGGUACAAUAAUUGACACUUUGAUUUUGUUGCCAUUCUGUCUCAGGCAAGCAAUUUAACACGUUAAAGAUCAGUAUCUGCCCUGUUCAAUAUUCCAAACUUACUCAGAAUAAACUUGGAGUUAAGUUAGAGUAUUUAGGAAAUCACCCCUAUCGUGAAACAAUUCAACUGCAGGGUUUGUUUAGUGAGAAAGUGAAUCUAUUGUGAGUAUGACCAUACAUGGUUUUAUUGGGUGCAUCAUACCCAUUUUUGCUUUGUGUCCACUUCAAUAGAUCCUACAUAUAGGUUUGAAAAUUCUAGAAUAAUGUUUCAAAUCGUAGAAAUGUUAAACAGUUUCGUAUUCCUGUCUUGCAAGUGAUCCGUUAGGUCCAAGGGUUCACCGUUUCUGCCUUUUUCCUUUUCCUCAUUAUGGAUUUGCAGGGAGGGACAGAAAAAAUGUCUGCUAGUGAUCCAAAUUCUGCAAUUUAUGUGACUGAUUCUGGACAGGAAAAGCAGUGUAUUCUUACCUGUUUCAUUAGCAAAACUAUAUGUUUCCGAUUUAAAAAAAAAAAAAAAAAAGCCAUGCAACAAGGAAGCCUGCUACUGGCAAAUCAAAAAUAAAAGAUGCUGGAGAUUGGAAAAUUGCUUAUAAUUUUUCUAGUAAAGGCCUCACCUGUUUUAACAGAAAACUGCUGAUAUCAUCUUCAUCUAAUCAUGUCCAUCAUAUGUCUAAUAUAUUUCAUCUAAUUAUCUCCCAGAAUGCAUUGAAUUAUCUGUGAAGCCGGAGACUUACAAGGUCAACUGGGGUUCCUAGUUUCUUUCCAUAUCAACUGAUAUUUCAAUAGUCACCCUAUCAAGAUAUUAUCUUUGAAAAAAAUAGUUUAGUGGUAAGAUUAGAACUUUAUAUCAAUUUAGCGGUCUGACAUAUAAUAAUAUCGCUGGAGGUUGUGAUUCAGGAAAAUCAUGGGGAGAGGCAUCGAAGAGGGAGGAAAGAGAGUCUUUUUUCUUUCUUUCUUUUUCUCACUUUUCCGAAUUUCCCCACACCUUUAGCACAUUUACCAGAUUUACGUAUACUUAUUAUUCUCUUAACUGUUAUUUUUCAUUUUGCACACGAGUGUGUUUAACCUGUUUUCGCAGUCCAUAGAGCAUAAAGGAGGGGUCGAAUGAGGCAAGGAAUUGAAGCGGGAGUGAUUGGCAGUUGGUUUGCGCUAAAGUUUAUGGAAUUUUUCCAAGUCUACUAGUUGGAACAUUUUCGGUCUAUCUACCGAUAGAAUGGAUAGGCAUAAGCAAUUAUCGACAAUGAUGAACCAGUCGAAGACCAACCCUCCAAUCGGUAGAAUAGGAGCAAAAGCAUCAGAUGGAUUGUACAACGCGAUUGAACCUUUAGUUUUCUACGCAUUGAAUGCAUCAUAACUUCAAAUCUAAAAUUCUCAACCGUUGAAGACUAAUCAUCACCUUUUGAACUGGAAAACAAAGGAGGAACAUUAGAACCCUUUUGAACCGGUUGAACUUUCUUCUUAACCGAUCGAGAUUGAAGAAAGCAAAGGAUGAAGAUAGGAGGUUGAAGAAGGCUGCGAACCCUCAAAGUCAACAUAGAAGACUGCUUUUCAAGGGUAUUUUGGUUAUUUCACUCCCUCAUCUUCCAAGUAUGGAGGGAAUCCCAUUAUAUGAAAGGCUUAAAACCCAAGUUUAAGAAUUUUUUUGGGAGAAUUCUUAGUCUUGAGAAUUAUUUCUCUUUCUACUACUUUACUUUUUCAAUUGCUUAAUUCAAAAAUAUAUUUUAUAGUCAUAGCUUGAAGAGAGUUGGAAAGGAAGAAGAAGAUCACUUGUUUUUGAGUUAAAACUUGUAAUUCUUGUUCUAAUUUUACUACAAUUCAAAUGGUUAUAAGUUUACUUAGAUUUUGAUUAUUCUAUUGAACUAUCAUUCAUCUUUCAUUCUUGAUGUUAAUUACUUUAUUUUAAUGGUUAGUGAUUCAUGUGUGUUUGAGUUUUUCUCACCCAUAUCUUGGUCCAAGAAAUAUGUUUUCUUCCAAACCUUAACAUGAAUUGAUUUCUUCUCUCCUUUUAAAUGGUUUCAAUGCUUAUUUUAAGUUGAUUAAUGGUGUUCUUAAGAUUAAAAUUUAGAGUUGUAUACAUUUUUAAUUAUUUGUCAAUAAGUACACUUGGUAUACGUAAUACUUGAAUAUGUACUCUAGGUGUUUGAACAUUGUACAAAGUCAUUAUCAAUCCCAUAAACACAUAUUUAGAUAUUAUCGUGCCUUGAGAUUUGGUUGAAUACAUAAAGAAAAAAAAGUUAAAACAUCUAAGUUAGAAGAAGGACUAGAUACUUGGAUCAUGUCAUUAUACAUUUAUAGUUUAUAUUUCAUCACAUAGUUUCACAAAAAUAUCAAAAUAGUCAUUUUUAUAAUUUCUUAACUUACAACAAAAACUUAAUCUUGCAUUUCUAACUUCAUGUAGAUAUGACCUUGAGAUUUCUAAAUAUUAUACUGUAUUAAUAUGUUACUACGAUUGGGAGUUGCCUCCAAUAGUUAAAUAGAAUGAUUUUAACUCUUUCUACCGAAACGCCACUUGCGAAAUAAAAAAGUGACUAGUUUUUCAUUUCACAACUGCGUUGUUUUGGUGGAAGAAAGGGUAAAAUUGUCUAAUUAACCAUGUAAUAGAUAUUAUUUAGAAGUCACCGCCUUCAGCGAUAUUAUUAUGCGUUAAACAACUGGAUUGAUAUAAAAAUCUUAUUUUACCGCCAAAUUAAAAUUUCCCCUAUAAUCGUGGUCUAGACUCUCUAUCAAUAAAUUCCCCCGCGGUCUUCUUGUUGACUUGACGAAAGCAAGUGCCCUUUAAUUAUGUUCCCCGCUGUUUUCGUUUUGACUUGACUCAAAAUGCAACUGCUAUUAUGUAAUUUAUUUGUUUGUAUUCUCUUUGUAUCAAAACCACUCAUCAGUAAACAGCUGAUUCCAUCUCUCUCCAAUACCAAAAAUCUCACUUCCCUCACUGCUUCAUCUCUGGUUCUCUCGCCUCUGUUUCUUCAUGGCUACUCUAAUCGAAGCCCAACAGGCCUCCAGCUCCAGCUCCGAAUUCAAAUUCAACUCGACAUUCCUGAGCUUUUUCGAGGCUUAGCAAGACCUAAAAAAAUUCACCGAUCACUCUAAAACCGACGCCUGAAUCGUGCCGGAAAUUCCGACCCUCCGAGACGAUCGACGAGAUCAGGAGUCAAGAACAUCAAUUCCCGAGUUAACAGAGAGCGAUCAAGUACUUCCAAGGAUGUCGGUUAUCGUUGUCUCGGAAGAUACGCAUCUUCAAAUGCUGCCUCUUCGAGGCCAGACGAUUUCUGGAGCAUUGUAGAGUCGGAUCACUUUAUUUUGCCGGUGUUUUACGAUGUGGAAUCCUGGGAGAGUGAGUAUCAGGCGAGAUAUCUGGAGAAGAAGGAUUCGUCCGGAGAAGACGAUAGGACGGAGUGCGGCGCUCAACGAGGUUGGCGAGUAUGGCUGGGAUGGUUUGCAAAAUCAAGCGGAUGGGUAAUUUCCUCCAAAUCCUAAUUUUUAUUUUUUGCAACUCUUCUCUUAUCCAAGAAUUGAUGUUUGGUUCAACAGUUUGGAAUUGAUUUUGCGUUUUUUUAUAGCGAAAAUUACAUUACAAAAACUUUCUAGGUUUGACGGGGAAGAAAUUAAACAUUAUAAUUUUAAUUUAGUAACAAUUUAAAUUUUUCGUUAGUUUCCAUCCAGCUAAGAAACGAAACUAACUAGUCUGUCCACAAUGUCAUAACCACUUGUAUAGGUUUUAUUUUUAAGUAACACCUAUUGACCAUUCUCAUAUCAAAAUGACAUAGAAUUACCAUAAAAAUUUGAUCUGUUUAAUACAAAUAAAACACCUAAACUCUUUAAUUUGUAUUGUUAAUUGGUUAGAUUAGGACUUUGAAAAGAGAUAAUUUUAUACGAAGUCGUUUCCAUGCAUUUUGAAUGGAAAUCAAUCGAUUCUGUUUGCCUUAAAUGGAGAUUAACGAAUGGUUUAAAUUAUUACUGAAUUAAAACUUCGUAGUUUAAUUUGUUUACAAUUAAAAUUGUAGAGUUUAAUUUGUUCCACGAUCAAAUUUUUUUUUUUCUUUUUUCUUUUUUAUAUUAUUGAUAUUUUAUCAUAAUUGAUUAUUAAUAAUUUGAAUAGUCUUUUUAAUAUUUUUUAAAAAAUUCCUACAAAACAAAUUUCAAAACCUAUAAAACCAAACAAAUUUUCUGCAUAAAAAUUUGCAAAACUGAUUUAAAAACUAAACCAAACUGAUUUUGUUGAAAAGUUAUAAAAUUACCCUUCUAUUUUACCAUUAGUAUAUACUUUUCAACACAAUACAAAGAUUUCUUUGUAAUUUUAUAAAAAUAAAGACAAGAAAAAAUAUUUUUGGAGAAAAUGGAAGUAUGAAAAUCACCCCUUAUUUUAUUGCUAUUAGUGCAUUCAUAUUGUUUGAAUUUGGGUUUUCUCCAUAUAUAGGAACAAGUUAGACCAUCUCCCAUUUUUACACUUUUUUUAGUCGAAUUAGAGAGAAAAUUUGAUAAAAAGCUUGAUCUGAUACUAAGAACUACAAUCUUUACUCUUUUAUUUCAUAGAAUCUUCUACCAAAAUUUCCAACUAUUCCAAAAACGAGACUUGAUGGGUAAAAAAACCCUCUAAUCCUCAACCCUUUCAAAGGUUUUCAUCUUAUGAGUAAAGUAGAGUUGGCCGAAGGUUUGUUGAUCUUGAUUUGAUGAAAAUUUUUGUUUUCCUCUUCAUUUGAUUUUAAAUUUGGUGAAACCGUGAAAGUCUAAGAGCUUGUUUUUGUACCCCUUUUCAUCAAAUUUUGAAUUAUGACGAUGAUUUGAUUGAAGGGUUGGAGAUGCUCUCAGUUUCAAUCAAGGGGUGGACAAUUACUUUAUAUCCCUUGGCGAUCGUAUGGCUUAUACUGAGUAAUUACCUAUAUAUAAUUACUAAUAAUUGUUUAUGCUCGCGGGUAUGAUACUUUUGUGGACAAUCUUAUAUGCCAAAUUCAAAUAAAAACAAACUUAAAAUUAAAUUAAUCAAAAAAAAUUACAAUAAAUUAACACAAUUACAGACUCUUCUCGAAGAAAACAAUUCAAAUUGUGACUGAGCACUGUAUUCAAUACAGUGCCUUAAGACAGAUUAAUCCUCUGCACGGGUGUGCAACGGAUAUAUAGACUCUGUCUCCCAGGAUACAACAGUCGAAAUCUUACUAAUGCAGCAUAAUAAUCAGUAGCCUGGCGAACCAACAACAGUGAUGUACUCUCUUGAUGGUAUGCAAAAAAAUAAAGAAAGGAAGAGCGGGGAAUAGAUGAAAUUGCUUAGAUUUACGUAUACCAAACUGGCUAGGAGGGAUGUGUAUAUAACCUACCGCCUGGAAAAUUCGUGACUUUAAGAAAGAGGAAAUUUUUCAAAGGAGGCAAUUUUUUGGGGAUCUGUUCGUUAAAAUUCAAACGUACAGGGACUUAACAAAAAGACGCAAUAGUUCGGGAUUAAACCGAAAGGACACAACUAUUUGGGACUAAAUCCGAAAAGACGCAACUAUUUGGGAUUAAAUCCGAAAGGACGCAACCAUUCGGGGACCAAAAUAUAAAUACUGAAAAUUAUUAUUUAAUAAAUAAAUUUUUCAGUAAAAAUUUAUAUUAGUCCGACCCAAACCCACACCCCGCACCCGCACCAAGCCUAAGGCCACGGCCUAGUCCGGGCGGGCGGCGCGCGUGGUUGUUUUGGCCAAGUCAUAGAGUUCAGAGUCGAGCCCAAGCCUAUCUAUAACUACCUUACCUUCAAAACUUGGGUACCCCUGGGCCCAACCAAGGAGUGAAAUUACUCCUUAUAAACCAAUUUACUUUCUCUCUAUUAACCAAUUAGGACUAUUUUGGAGUCACCCAAUUUUCAAUUCAUUUGUAAGUAGUUUGAAUAACCUAAUUACACAUUCUUAAUCCUCAAAUGUUAGGUAUCUAAAACCACUUAAAACCAUCUAAAAAGUAUAUGGGUCUGCUUUAAUUCAGACAAAGUUGGGCAAAAUUAUUGAGUUAAAACAAUUUUUUCCUACAAUCCCCCACAUGAAUGAAAAUGGACGGAAUAUGCCAAAACAUGUUGGAAACAAAAAAGAGUACAUAUAGAAAAUACAUGCACAGAGAAAGGUAGGUUUGGCUUGGCAUCUUUCUCUGGUGAAAAGUCUAUCGGAUUUAUGGCUAAUCGUGGAUAUGAUGUCUGAAACUGUUCAACUGUUUAUGUAAACCAACAAUAAAUUUCACACAAAAAUAUUUCAAACACCGCUUGGUUCUCAUGGUGUGUUCCUUUUAGCUCUGAACAACGCCUGAGUUUCAUGAGUGCCUCUAGGAAGUUAGCCGGAUUAAUUUCAAAAGAACCGGCCCCAGUUCACAUCAUAUAGAUGAUUUUAUUAAGAGCAUCCUGCUAUACCCCAAUUGAAAAUCAAGGAUAAGAAAUCAUUAAAGCCAAAGUUUAACCUGGGUCUCGCUACAACCAUCACUACUCAUCAGAAGAAUAGGUAGGAGAUAAUCUCCCAGUGAUUCCGACUAAGUCCCCCAACAAUUCGAUUGUCCCUUUGAACCUCAAAAUCUUGGGAUCCCAAAGUCAAUUAGGUUGGGUUGCCAUUGGGGAAACUUGGAACUUUUAAAAAAUAGGCUUUAGUCCCAUUCCCUCAAUGAAUGAUGCAUUACUCAUAGUCAAAACUUUUAGUUAACGGCAUCCGCUAAUAUGAUCCUUUGAUUGAUAUUAAUCAGAUGGAUAUUAUUUCACUUGAGGAGCAAAAUUUAACAGUAUUAUAUCUUCGACGGAUAUGUCGAGAUUAACGUUAUACAUAUUAUUCAGUGCUCGAGAGCUAUGGCUGAUUGGGACUAUCACAAUGUAUGAAAAUAGCCGGCACAGGUUUAGGCCACAUUGGAAUAUAUUCUAAGUUUUGUCGAGCCAUUCUGCUCUCCGUUUUAUCCAUGCUAUGAAUUCAGAUUCCAUAGUAGACCUAGCUAUACAAGUUGACCGUGGACGAUUCAAGAAAACUGCUGCUCACCUAAGUGAACAACAUAACCACUAGUAAAUUGGAAUCCUUGUAUCCGGAAAUUCAGUUUGCAUCACUAUAUUCUUUAAGUACUGCAGGGAUAUUUAGUGUAGUUGGCAAAACUAUAAGUUGUGAUAGCUAAAAAUAUAUAAGAACCCUAAACUAUGGCCCUUACAAUGAAUAUUCGUAGAUUUGCUUGUGACCUACUCAACUUACUCACAGCAUAUGCAAUAUCUGGUCGAGUACAGUUCAUGAAGUACAGUAAGCUAAUUAAUAUUCGAGCAUAAUCAUUGAGACAUACUUCAACAACAUUCUUGGCCUAAAUGGAAAAUUCAUAUCCCAAAGAGUUUUUGAAUAUGUUCAUCAUCUUUACCUCUAAAUUUUUCAAGAAUUUUCUCAAUUAUAAUGGGGCUUGAGAAAGUUAUAUCCUUCAAAGUUUUAGUAAACUUUAUACAAAGUAUAACAUCAGUUAACACUAAUAUCUUUCAUGGGUCAAACUGUUUGUUAACAUUUUCUUAGUAGCUUUAAUCAUCUAGAUAUCACUACAAUGAUAGCAUGUAUCAACAUAAAGACAACGAUGGACAUAUUCUUUAUUUGUAUUCUGAACAUAAACAACAUUUUAGGGAUGCAACUUUUGCCCAACACCCCCACACUCUUAAGCAUUGUAGGAAUGUUUUAUACCUUUUAACAUUUCAUAAGGGUUUUAUCAAUUUUCUUACGGGUAUUCUAUUAAGAAUAUAAUUAGCAUGAUAAAAAUAGCUUCCCCCCACAAUUCUGAGAUAACACCCAGAACUAAUAAAUAGCAUUUCAUCAUAUCCUUUAAGUUCUAUUCUUCCGACACUAAGCAACUCCAUGACUGGGGAGCAAUAGGUGCAUUGUUUGUGUAUAAUACCAUGUUGCGCACAAAACUCAUAAAUGUGUCUCAUAUUCACACCUCUAUCACUUCGUAGCACCUUAACUUUCUUGCUAAGUUGAUUUUCGACGUCUUGUAAAUGUAUGAAAGCAUCCAAAAUUCAUCUUUCUUCUCAACAUACACAACAAAAUCUAGAAUAUCAUAAAUAAAUGUAUAAUGUACUUUUUUCCCCUCUAGAUUGUAUAGAUUUUUAAAAUACAAAAAUCACUAGAAACUAAUUCAAGAGGUCAGUACUCCUUUCAAUAGUUGAAAAUGAUUUUCUAGUCAUUUUUGCUCUACACAAAUUUCCCAUUUAUGAUUCAAGUUUAUAUAAACUUAGGUAGACAUUCCAAUUAUUAAGUCUUCGCAAAAGAAUGCUAAUUAUAUGUCCUAAUCUAACAGCCCAUAAAUGAGGGAAGACUCAAGCAAGUAGAAAAAUAACAUCCUUAUUUCAUUCAAUUUGGAACAAUAUGUCAUUAAUUCAAUUUAAAAAGCCAAUCACUCAUGUAUCCCUUUCAUACAUACCAUUGCCCACUCUUGUAAGUACAAAAUUUGUCAGAUUUCAACCCUAGCGAAAGCCAUUUUUGCUCAACAAUGAGCCAGAAACUAGUUCUUCGGAUGUCUGAAAACAUGCAUCCACUUGUUGAGAGGAGUUCCUUUCCAGAUGUCAUUUUUAGAAUCACUUUGCUUGGCCUACCACGUUAGAAGUUGACAGAGUUCCCAGUAAAGUUGUUCACCAUCAUUCACCUUUGCGUAAGAUGAAAACAUCUUCUUUAUCGAAGCAUAUUGUGGCGAGUAGCUCCAAUCCACCAAACAUUCUUAAAAUUUUGUAUACCAAAUUUGCUAUGACACAAAACGCCAGAGAUUCAUGCUGGGGAUGCAAGCACACAGAUUCUAACAUCUGUUUCAGUACUGUGCAUGGGCACACAUUUUGCUCGAACUUCCAUAAUCCUUGGGCUUUGCUACGACAUUCAUUGGCUCUAUGUCCGAUCUUGUCACAUUUGUAGCCCUUUCUCUUGAAACUUUCUUGUUGAACCUUGAGAUGUACCGUUACAAGAAGCUUUAGUUCUUGUUCUUAGGCCCUUGUUCCACAACAUGGCCUUCGACUCCAUUGAAAUCUUUCUGUCUUUUCUCAGAAUUUGGUUGUAUUCUUCUAUCCUCAAUCACAAUCAGUUCCUACAAUUUCAUCUCCUUGCGUUUAUGCUUUAAAAUUAUUUUGAAUUCCCUCCAAUUAGGCAGUAAUUCUCAUUAUUGCCAGCAACUUGAAUGAUCACUAAGUGACAUCCUUCACGCAUGUAUAUCAUGUAUCACAACUUGGAGUCUUUAACUGACUGAUCAAGUACGAGAAUCCAACAUCUUCUAACCAAAAAUUGCCAACAAUGAAUUUCUUCAUUCCAGUAUCUUUCUGGUUUUAUACUUUUUAUCAAGAGAUUCCCAUAUUCGUUCGCUAUCUUGAUUAGGCUAUAUACAUUGUAACGUAUGUCCAAUCCAUGAGGAAUAAUUGCGGCACAAAAAAAUCUGAAUGCUUCCAGUAUCAACAGCCACAACCAUUUGCACAUCCGACUCAUCUUCUUUAUAGCGUUGGAGUUGUUUCAUGGAGGAAAACCUUGCCAAAAUAAGAUAUAAGAUAAAAUAAACAUCUUUUGCUGCUAUCUUUUAAAAUUAGUUCCAUUGAACUUUUCUGGUUUCUCUCCAUGAUUUACCGGAACCGAUACAGGAAUCGGUGGCAUGAUUGUAAUGGGAUUACUUCCAGAACCUCCAUCAUAUCCGGGGUUUCCAUAACCAGUGUCAUCAGAAACACUUGCCAUCGAUUCUGAUAAAACAGAAUUCAACCAAAGAAUUAAAAAAAAAAUCACAGUAGAAGAAAGUAGAAGUGAUAAUCUAUCUGUCUUAAGAUUGUUGGAAAAUCUUCUAUGCAAUUCAAAUAAACAUACUGAAAUUAAAUUAACAGAAAGUUCAAUAAUUAACACCAUUAACAGAACUUCUUCUUCGAAGAACAAGAAUUCAAAUUUGUGCUGAGGCAUAUAUUCAAUACAGGGUCCCUUAAGGAAAGAUAUCCUCCGCACGGGUUGCUAACGGAUGUUAAUAGACUCUGUCUCCCGGAUACAACAGUCUCGACAUCUUACUGAGCAGCACAAACAAUUCGUAAGCCUGGCGACACCAACAACAAUGAUGUACUCUCUUUUACGGUAUGCAAACAUGAAGGAAAGGGAGAGCGGAGGAAUAGAUGAAUUGCUUAGAUUUACGAGUAUACCAACAUGGCCUGAGGGAGAGGAUGUUAUAUAGGAAAAUUCGUGAACUUUUAGAAAGGAGGAAUUUUUCUAAAGAAGGAAUUUUUCCGGGGGAUCUGUUGUUUAAAAUUCAAAUGUACAGGGACAAAAACGAAAAGACGCAAUAGUUCUGGAUUAAACCUAAAGGACGCAACUAUGUCGGAUAAAUCCGAAAAAGACGGCAAAAAUAUUCGAGGGACCAAAAUAUAAUUACUGGAAAUUAUAAUUAAAUAAAUAAUUUUUUCAGUAAAAAUUUAUAUUAGUCCGACCCAACUACAAACCGCACAAGCACACAGCCCCGGCGGGCGGCAGCGCGUGGUGUGGUAUUUUUGGUCCAGUCAAUAAAGUUCAUAGCUGGACCCAAGUCCAUCCAUAACUCUCCUCUUCAAAAACUUGCGGUUACCCCUUGGGGCCCAACCAAGGAGUGAAAUUUACCUCCGUAUAAACCACGUUACUUUCUCUCUCCUUACCAAUGUGAGACUAAAACAAACUUUUUUACAUAAGCCAUAUUAUGUAGACACUUUGGAGUCAAUUUUCAAUUCAUUGUAAGUAGUUUGAACAACUAAUUUACCACAUCCUUAAUCCCCACAUGGAAGUGUAUUAAAGACACUUUAAAACCCAUCUAAAAGUAUAUGAGUCCCACUUUAAUAAGGCCUCCCAAAGUUGGGCAAAAUUAUGGGUUAAAACACAUUUUUUCCUACACUUUCUCCCCAAAAAAUCACUUCUUAGGGAUAAUCAUUAGAGUUUUACAACCUAAAAAAUAGAGAGAUACAUUACUACAAAAUGAAGAACAAAUUAAAAAGUAUAAUGCUUUUGAAAGUGUUGCUAAUUUGGGAGAAAUGAAGGUGAAAGAAAUUGAUGUUUUAAUUUUUUUUUGAUAUGGUUCCCACUAAAAAAAUGAUCCAAUGGAUAAAAAAUAUGUCCACCUUUAGAGGUUUUUUUGCCAUUGAAUAACAAUCUAUAUGGGCCCCACACAUUUGAGAAGAAGGAAGUGAUAUUUUUUUUUUGAGAAAAAAAUAGUCUCAGGUGAAAUCUUAGCUAUUGAAUUAAUUCAAAUGGAUUCCAAACCGUGAUAUAAGUAUAAGAACAAAGUUUUUGAAUCUUUCAAACUAUCUUCCAUAUCUUAUGGUCGGAAUUCAUUGAGUAAUCCCAAGGAUGAGAUUCACUUGAGACUAUGUUUUUUCUUACAAAAAAUAUCACUUUCUUCUGCUCAAAAUAGUGGGGGCCCACAAGAUUGUAAUUCAAUAGCCAAAAAACCAUUAAAACAGGACAUAAUUUACCUAUUGGAUCAUUUUUUUAGUUGGACCACACCAAAAAAAUACUAAAACACCUCUUUUUUUUUCUCUCAUUACCCAAAGACUAUUAACGCUUUUUAAAAAUCAUAUACUUUCUAUUUUUCUCUCUUUUAUAGUAAUGUAUUUCCUUCAUAAUGCAUGCAUUGUAAUAUCUUAAGCUGAGUUAUAUCUAUCGUUUUUUUUUAUGUUGUAAAACUUAAUAGUACAAACCAAAAAAGUAAUUUUUUUUUUUUUGACGUAGUGCCUGGGAGCACGGGAAAUUACUAGUUAUAGAUAUGUUACAAACUAUUUGGCCAGAGCAAGUUAUGGUUUUGAGUUUCAAUGAUCGUAGCAAUGGUAAUACUCUUCCCCUCACUCUCCCUUGGACUACAUAAGGCUUAAAACCUGAUAAUUACAUAUAUUUGUGGGACGGGGAAAUACAUGUAGCCGGGAUAGAUAGAGCAAAAUACUGGGAUAGAAGAUAGGUGUUCUAAGUUGUCAAAAUUGUAAACUACGUUAUAUGCAUCACUAAUAAUUCAUAUGGCCGUUCCUAGUUAAACCAAAUAAGUUAAAAUCACAUGAUUUUGAUGGUUCAGGAUGAAAUGGAAAAAAAUGGAAGUAGUAUAGGAGAUAAAACUGUGUGUAAUUGAGCUUAUACUUUUUUACAAAGUGGUUAAGGACUAAUUUUCUUCUUUCCUAUUCAUAUAUUAACAUAAAGAAAUUGUUAAAGAAAUAUUUUUAAAGAACUUGACUUGAUGAUUUAGAAUGCAGAAGUAUACUUGAAUUCUAAUUAAUCACUUAUCAUCUACAGCAUUCUUUCUUGAGAAUCGUACAUCUUCUUUUUCAUGCCACUAUUGCUAAAUGAGUUUCGAUUACAAAGUUUCUUUUUUUUUUUUUAUGUACUGAAAAUCAUAUUUGUCUUGAAGUAAACGGGAAUUGUGGUGAAGAAGUUCAUUUCGCAUGAUUUCAAAUUGGGGUUAAGAACCAAUGAUUCAAUAGCGUAUUACGUGAACUGUUUUUUCCCUUCUUUUUAUUUUUGUGAAAAUGACACUCUUUUUCAAAGUAAAUUUAUAAAGUGGAUGAUAAGUUUUUUAGGCACUUGGCCCACCUCCCUCUUUAAACCAUGCUACAUCACUACGAAAUCAGAACAAAAACCUGGCCAUGACAACAAACCCCUUGGGAAGCCCUUAAAAUUCCUUGCAUUGCCAUGUAACCACAAUCUUCCAAUGGCAUUUGAAAACUUAUACAACCCCUCAUUCGGAGCAACACCUAGGACCAUACUUGGUCAAAGCAACCAUGGUCCUACUAGCUAGGUUUCAUAACUGGGGUUCCGAGUACUAAGUGGGCGGGUCCGCGGGUCUUGAUGUCAGAUUCUUUGUAAACCUAAAUUUUAGUAUACUUGUAUUUUUGUCUCAAAUUAAUUAUGAGUACAGUACACAUUCUGAAUUAUUCCAGAUAAUAAAUCUUGAAUUAUUUAAAAAUGUACUUGAAAUCAAAUGAGAUUAUAAAAAAAUAUGAAAAAUAUUAAAAGUGUUAACCUCACAUCGCUUAUUUAAGCCACCCAAAAUUAUUAUAUAAGAAGUGAACCUUUAUCUUUUGAUCACCCAUUCAAAUAAUGGGUCAACAAAGAUAAGUGAUAGUUUUUUUCUUCUUUUAUAGAUGGGAAAAGAUAAGUAAAGUUGAGCAAAGAAAGUUGAUCUCAUCCAGCCACCUUACUCGAAGUUGCUUCAAAAGUCAAGGAUACAUAAGUAAAUUACUUGAAUAAUUAGAUUUGCAUAUAUUUUUCACUGCCGGAAUAGAUAAAACAUGUAAGAGGAUAAUUCCCCCUAUGGAUCUGAAAUUAUUUUACUCAUGACAGAGACUAAAUUUCCAGAAGAAAGGCUGUUCAAGUUUUUUGUCUUCUAAUUCCACUUGCAAGUUUUGAGCUGCUUUAGUUCUCCUCUUGCAGUUUUUCCUUCAAUUUGUUUGUUUCUUGUUUUUUUUCUAGUGCUCUGUAAACCCAUUUCAUCCCAUGGCUGAUUUUGAUAAAUAAUCAUUCGUCUACCUAUCUUCACCUUAAUUUGAUAUGUUUUUCCCCAAUCUUGACAGAAUGAAUUUGUUUUCCAUUUUGAGUUGAGCUUUUAUGUAUGAAGCCCAGUUCAUUGAGAUAAAUUGUUGAAGGAACUCAGAAUAAAGCUAACUACCAAGCGUCUGAGAGGUCCUCACACCACCUAAUGGUAUGGAUUCUCGAACAAAAGAUAUUAAUUUAAUGGUUCAAAAACGGUCACCGAGUUGGCAUUCUCGUGAUAUGGAAUAGGUGGAGAGGGAAACUACUAUUGCCAAAAGUUGUGUACACUCAAACGGUGUAUGUUUUGAUGCUAGCAGCGUUGGUCUUUCCACUAAUAUCAGAGAAGAUGCCAAAAACCCAAUGGCUUACUGCGAUUGCAAAGACAUCUUAUUUCAUAUAUUUUAAGAAAAGAAGAGCACAAAGUAAACGAUGUUGAAGAGAUGUCAGGAGGCUUCAAUUAUAUUAACCAACAACGUGUUCUUCUUGUUCUCGAUGGAUGUGGAUAUGAGGGACCAACUAAUAUGCGUUAUUUGGCCAACAAGAGUGGUUUUUUCCAGGAAGUAAAGUCAUCAUAACUACUAGGCUUCGGACCUUGAUAAAUGCUGUCCUGUUUAAUCAGUUUAUGAGCCCCUGAAAAAUUUCCCCAUUAAGAAUUGAGCUUUUUAGUAGACAUAUGCUUUUGGAGAAACAGGCCUAUUCAAGGGUACAAGGAGUUAUCGAAUGUUUGUACAACACUGUGAAGGGCUUCCUUAGCUCUUCAAGUUUUGGGGUCUUCUUGCGCAGGAAAAGCCUAGAUGUAUGGACAAAGUAUGUUACGAAAUUUGCAAACACGUUCUGACAGACAAUUCUUGAAAAACUUGAAAUAGCUUUGAUUUUCUUUACAAGAUAAGCCCUAUAAAAAUGUAUUCCUUGAGAUAGCUUGUUUCUUCUAUCUUUUGUUGGAAAGAAGAAAUGACACAUCACCAUUCCUUGAUGGGUGUGCAUAUUACACACAGCUGGAAUCACAUCUCCUUGAUUCGAAAUCUUUUGACACGAAAAAUGGUAAAGGCUGAGAAUUCAUCAUUUAUUCAGGACAUGGGAAAACAAAUCGUAUUGGUCAGAAUCAUAUUAUCCUCAGGAGCGGAGCAGAAUCUGGCGGCAUAAGAGUCAUUCAAUAUCUGAAUGAAAAGAUGUAAGAACAUGUUUUGCGAAGUUCAUUGUUUUUUUGAUUUUGCCCAUGCUAGCCAGUCAAUUAUCUAACUUUCAUUUUUUUCCUUUCUUUUGUUUUUAAAGGUACCUAAAAAAUUGAAGGCCUCACUUUUGACCUGAAUGUGUUGAAAAGAAUGAAUUUGAGACCGCUCAUCGUUUUGGAUUUUCCUAUGAAGCACCCGAGUUGAGCAUCGAAGGUGGUAGACAUUGAAACUAAUGCGUUUGAAAUAUAUUGUAAACUUGAUACUACUCAAACUCAGUUGGUACAACUCUCUGGAUGCUUAUAAUGCCUUUUCCCAAAAGAUUAAGAUGGUUAUAUUGGCACAGUUUCUCUCCAGAGUACAUGCCCAAUGGUUUUUCCUAUUGACAAGUUUGGUCGCUCUUGACAUCGCUACGCAACUUUGAAACAGUUUUGGGAGUGGAGCUAAGGGUAUGAUAUUUAUUUUGCUUCUACUUUUAUUGUAUCAAUUCGGGUUAUUGAAUUAGUUGUAUAGAAUGCUACUUCUGAACUUAGUUGGCAUUAUUGUUUGCUUUUUUAAAUAGGUUUCUGGAUCGCGAAAUGCUAAAUGUCAGUCACUCACCUAAUUAGCUAAAACUCCAGACUUCUCAAAUCCCCAUCUAGAGCAACUAUUCUUCAAAGAUUGUCCAAGUUUGAUUGAGAUCGUUGAAUCUAAUUGUACAAUCUACAAAGAAUCUUUGCAUUGAAUCUUAGAUGUACAAUCUGAGAAAGCGUGCCAUACAAAUUAGCAUGGUAGAAUCUCUUGACGAACUAAAGUUUUCUGGUUGCUCAGUCUUAGGGUGCAAUCGAGGAGCUGACGAAGAUGAGGUCAUUGCGAGUAACUUCCCGCUGAUAGGAUGAAUAUAAAUCAAUUACUCCCACUAUGGAGGUUGAAGCACAAGCAUCUUUUUGGCCUUGGAUUCCAAAGCCAGGGCAAACUAUACAAAUGUCAUUGGCCCGAAUUACCAAGUUCUUUGGUACAUUUAGUCUGCUCAUUGCAAUCUCACCGAUGAUGCAUUUCCCUGGGAUCUAAGUAUCUAUCCAAGUAACAGCAUUUUUGUCUUGUUGGAAAAAAAAUCCAUUUCUAAACCCUAACCAAAUUGCUUAGAUCUUAAAGGGCUCCAACACGCUGGAUUUCUCGUGGUGUCCAAAGCUUCCGGGAUCUGUGGCCAUCCGAUUUUAUAGAGGAACUAGUUGUUUACAGAUGCAAAAAUUGAAAAAAUACCAUUUGAAACUUCAGGCCGUAUAAAACAUAUUUUCGCACGUGCUUGCAUGAGUUUAGACUAUGUUAGAAUGUGGCUUACAAGAUCUUACCGGUUGCAAAAGUUGAUGUGGAACUCCUCAACAUAUUGGGCUUCUUCAACUUGACUUGAUGGCAAAUGGUGAAGCUUUCAUGUUAAUCGUAAACCUUGUAUGGGUCGAAAGACGUGUUCCUAGUUCGGUUUCUCAACUUCUUUCUCUCUCUUUCUCUCUCUCUCCUCUCGUUACUGCAUUUCAAUGUGAACUAUUGAUUUCAUUUCACAGAUACUCUAUGAAUACAUUGUAUUCAGCACAAUAUUUUCCUGGGAAUGAUAAGUUCCACACUGGUUUUAGCAUAGAAUCGGGUCCACAUUAACUUUACUAUAACUUCAUCUCCUCACCUUUUUCAGGUGUAAUCUUUGCUUGGUAUAUACAGUUCCGACGACAUAAUUGGUUGCCGGUCCCUUUUCAAUGUUAAGAAUUAGUAACAGAUCAGGACAUAGAGACCGGUUAUUUACGCCCAGGGGGGGUCUAUGGCUUCCGGAAGCCGUGGAAUAUUUUUUUUUUUUUUUUUUUUUUUUUUUUAACAUGAUUGUAUGGUUAGCCUUGGCUAACAGAAAUCUCUGUUUAAACAUGGUGAUGAGGUGGGAAAUUUUUUGUUUCGGUUGAAUGUUGAAUGACAAAUUAAGAGUGUGGUGUCCACCUUUUGUACUGUUGACGAAGAUGAAGAAAUAUUCCAAUACUGACAAGACUAUAUACUGUUCGUGGAUUCCAAUAUGUUUGGAGUUGUGUCUGUGGCAGGUGCGCAACCUCGCUCCCCUUGUGUUAAAUUAACAGCUAAUUUGAGCAAGCUCGGCUUGACGGCUUGACUUGCUAUUACUUCAAUGGACUUGUAACUCUACAAGUGUGGAUUUUUUUUUUUAUUUUGAAAGAUAUAGGAAUCGAGAACCUCUGAGAAGCAGGUUUGGGCUGCUUUUAGUCAUAAACACCCCAAAAAUAUAUUUACUGUGAAAAUGAUUUUCUUCCGCUUGUAUGGAAAAUAUUUUUAGCAUUUUCGAAGAUGUGUAAUGUUGCAGAUUUGUGGACAAGUCACCACGAAUCAAGAAGAAAAGAACAGCAGCAGCGCAGCAGCACAGCAACAGAAAAAGGGAUAUGGAUCAAUAGGUACCUAUGAUACCAUGAUAUUGUAAACUAUGUUGUAAUGGUGUGCAAAUAGCUCCUAAUUAUUUUAAUAAAUAAUGUUCUACUUUUGUUUUGUUAGGAUUGGUGCAAUGGAAUGAAAAUAUGUUAUAUUCAUGAGUUUUUAAUAGGAAUAAGGAUAUGAAAACACAUGAAAAUUAAAUGAAGGUGGUUUAAAAAUGAUACUAUUAUUUUAAUAUAACAUAGGUUGCAUGCUUAAUAGUCGUGGCUUUUAUAUUUUCUUAUUGGUUGAACCUUCCUAUAUCUUUAUUUUGUUUAUAUCCCCUCCUCCCAAUUUGUUAGUCUACUUUUCAUUUUUGAAUGUUCCAAAAAUAUU